rnacentral:rRNA from 1 species
UACGGAGGGGGCUAGCGUUGUUCGGAAUUACUGGGCGUAAAGCGCACGUAGGCGGCUUUGUAAGUUAGAGGUGAAAGCCCGGGGCUCAACUCCGGAAUUGCCUUUAAGACUGCAUCGCUAGAAUUGUGGAGAGGUAAGUGGAAUUCCGAGUGUAGAGGUGAAAUUCGUAGAUAUUCGGAAGGAACACCAGUGGCGGAAGGCGACUUACUGGACACAUAUUGACG